UGAAGAUAAAGUAACCAGAAGUCUUAGAGAGGAAGUAACGGUCAGCUGCGUGAAAAGAAACUUCCUGGAAACUUAAUGUAGUGUGAAAAAAAAAGAAAUGUAUAAAAGAAGAAGGAAGAGGUGAAGAACUAGAGCAUGACAAAAAACUGAGCACAGAUCAGUUUGAGGAGACGAGGAGAAGAAAAAGGCUUGACGGUGUUUCUGAAAGUGUUUCCACCCGUUGAGUUGCUGUUUCUUGUGAGUUUUUGAGCGAAGAAGGUUCAUCCAGUGGAGGAAAAGAUCUGUUGCAGAAAAUGUUUGCUGCCAAAGUGCUAAUUCUCGUCUUGGUCGUCACAGGUCAUUAUGGGAGUGAAAUCUCUUCGACUACUACAAGAACAAGCCCGGUGACACAAAAUCCCCCAAAACUGAAGAUCAAACACAAAACCAAACCACAAGUAAGUAUGAAUUAAUAAUAUUUAAAAAGGUCAUCAUUGUUACAUAAGUAGUAUUAAGUGCAAACUGGAUUCACACUCAAUUCCCUUUUCUGUUUGUUGUUCUUAUCUUUAGUGGUCACAGCGGUCAACAGCUCCGACACCAGUAUGACAAAUAAAACCAACGUAUCUAAGGUAAAGGCAACAUUUUCAAAAUAAUUAUUUUAAAUAAAUUAAAAAAGUUUCGGACUUAACAAUAUGCAAAAAAGUGACCCUGUAAAAUGUUUUUUUUUUAUAUAUAUUCUUAAGAGGGGAAGAAAUUCUGGUACAGCAAAGGUAAGCAGGAACACUAUGAAAAUUUAUUUCUACC
rnacentral:lncRNA from 1 species